rnacentral:rRNA from 1 species
UACGUAGGGGGCGAGCGUUGUCCGGAUUUAUUGGGCGUAAAAGAGCGUGUAGGCGGCCAGGUAGGUCUGCUGUGAAAACUCGAGGCUCAACCUCGAGACGUCGGCGGAAACCAUCUGGCUAGAGUCCGGAAGAGGAGAGUGGAAUUCUUGGUGUAGCGGUGAAAUGCGUAGAGAUCGGGAGGAACACCAGCGGCGAAGGCGGCGACCUGGACAGGUACUGACACUCAACUACGAAAGCGUGGGGAGCAAACAGG